GACGAACGCUGGCGGCGUGCUUAACACAUGCAAGUCGAACGAAGAGGCGAACGGGUGAGUAACGCGUAAUCAACUUGCCAAUCAGCGGGGGACAACAGUUGGAAACGACUGAUAAUACCGCAUACUGAAGGAGGAGAUUGAGUCGGAAUAGCUAGUGGGAGGGGUAACGGCCCACCAAGGCGAUGAUCAGUAGCCGGUCUGAGAGGAUGAACUGCCACAUUUGGACUGAGACAAGGCCCAGACUCCUAUGGGGAGCAGCAGUGGGGAAUCUUCCGCAAUGGACGGAAGUCUGACGGAGCAACGCCGCGUGAGUGAUGACGGCCUUCGGGAUGUAAAGCUAUGUUAAUCGGGACGCGGUACCGGAAUAGAAAGCCACGGCUAACUACGUGCCAGCAGCCGCGGUAAUUC
rnacentral:rRNA from 1 species